rnacentral:ncRNA from 2 species
GCCUUUGUGGACAAAUCAGGUGCUUGCCGCGUGCAUUAAGUCACGUUGGGGCGAGUGAAAAGGGAAGACGGUAAAAAUCCGUCACGGUCCCGCCGCUGUAACCGAGGACAGCGUUUCUAUUCAAUCCACUGCCAUGAUUCUUCAGUUCAACUGGAGGUCUCGGUGGGAAGGAAGAAACGUCUGGAUGAUCCGGAAGUCAGAAGACCUGCCUGGUUUGUUGUUGAUAU